GUCUCAACAGUAAGCGGUUUUCCCCAAGUUUUCCAGGCCUUCGCGGUCUCAGCUGCCUAGUUUGGGCUGAGACGAUUGAGCCUGGAUAGGACCACUGACCCCUCAGCUGGGUCUGCACAGGCCUGGGGACCUUGUGAUGUUUGGAGGCCUGGAGCCUAGUUGUACCUGUGCACAGGAACCACUGGGCACCUUUCUAAAUCGGGAUUCCCGGCCUCCCCUGGCUGCCUGCGCACCGCACCCCCGGUUCCCCACGCCCCCUCGUUUCCCAUGCCCUGUGGAAUCGCAUCCACAUCUCUCACGCCCUCUGUUCCCUGCGUCCACGCCCCACACGCCCACGCCCCCACGCCCUGCGCUCCCACGCCCUGCGCUCCCACGUCCACGCCCCCCACGCUCUACAACCUUACGUUCACGCCCCCCACGCCCUGCGCUCCCACGUCCACGCCCCCCAGGGCCACACCCCCAUGCUCUGCGACCUCGGGUCUAGCCCCACUCCCACCAGUGUUCCCACAUCCACGCUCCCCACGCCCUGAGUCCCCAAGUCCACGCAGCCCGGGUCAGCUGUUCGCUGCUUCUUUCCUGUCAGUCCUUGGGCUUCGCUGAGGCGUUUUGGAAGCUUGCUGAGCCCUCUCGUCUCGCUGGGCACAGUCUAGCACCUCCGCUGUGACGGUUAUAUUAUACUGCAAACCAGCAGCAGCAGGUGAGAGGACAAGGACCCCAAAGGAUCCUUCAGGUCCCCAGUGGCCACAGCUGACCUGCCCCACAGACCUGCUGCUGCUCCCGCUGGCCCACCUGACCGAGGCGCACCUCUGUGCAUUCACUGCUUCCACUGAGUGUGUCCCUUCUGACCGGGGAAAACGAUCUGGAUACUGUUUAAAAGUUCCUUCAGAUGUGUUUUUCAUCCAUUCGCUGUGGAAGGGAUAUUAUGAAUAUUCAGGGAAAAGAUAGCCUGUGACCCCAACUGUCGAACUGUUUCAACACAGCGAGCAGCAAAGUGAACACGACCUACAUUGAAGCCUCCCAGGGGGAUCUGAAGUUGACAGGAAAUGUUCUCCAGUGUGACUCUGGAGAUUUGGGAAAGAAGUUGGAUCAAGGGUUGUUCAGACUGAGGUUUGGACUUGGGAAAGAAGUUGGAUCAAGAGUUGUUCAGACUGAGUCCCAGUGGACAGAAGUCCACCUGCCAUGUAUAGUCUGAUUGGGAAAGACCAUAGAGGAGGAAGUGGAAGUCACGCUUCUGGAGGAUCAACCAGGACCUGGUGUUCUGUGAGGAGUUUACAAGAAGGAGGCCCACUUAUUUCUGAAAGCUUUUCAGAUUAAAGAGCCAGUGGAUAUUUUCAUCAGCAAUUUUGAGAAUGACAACUGGGGACUGGAUGGUUAUGUGAGUACUUCCUGGAGGGCCAUCUAAUCAUCAUGUCUGCGUAGAGGUGGGGGCACCAAUGGGUGUUCCUUCCAAGACAACCUGGGCCCUGUCUGCACCAUGAAAACUCAGGGCCCUCAUCCUGGCCUGACAGCCAUGUCACCCCUUCAUCAUCUGAUGGAAGAAAGCUGUCCCUGAGAUGAGAAUGAAACUGACCAGGAGAGACAGGCCAUCCCUGCCGGACACACAAGAGCCUCGAUGCAGACCACGCCCCACUGUCAGAGUGGGACUCUACCCAGGCCUCAGCAACCACCCUGCAUGGGCUGAGAAAGGGAGAUUCCAGAGGCACCUUCACAGUCUCCUUUGCAAGUUAACCCUUUGCUUCUGCACUAAUUCAUCAUAGAACUUGAACAUAAAGGGUCUUGCAUGAUAUGCAUGAGACAGUAGCUGUGACACAGUGAGUUGUACAUAAUAUAGGCUCUGAGGUAAUUCAUACAUGUGUCCCCAUUUACAAAGGACACUCAACCUAUAAAUAAGGUGUCAAAUUUACUACUACUGUUUUUGAGAUCAAAAUGAGAGUUUGUUAAUUGAAGUUCAUGUCUAUAUUUUUCAAUUUUAACUAUAAAUGUGAAACUCAAAGGAAUGACAAAUUUUUAAGAGAACCAUUAAUGUCUAAAUAAGAGAAAUAAUAUGAUAAAAGGAGAGGUUAUGAUUAAUCCUUGUUGAUUUCUUCCCUUUCAUGUGUAUCAGGUAUCAUCCAGACUUGAAAGGGAAGGGUUUACUUUUCAAGGUGACAUACACAGAAAAGACUGGGAAAUAUAAGCUGGAAAGGCAAGGUAUGCUGCACUUACGUGAUUUUUCAAAGCAAGUAUCAGAUUGGUCUGCAGAUGACUGAGCUGAGUGUGAUAGAAAAGACGUGAUUUAAAAGAAACAGAAACAAAAAUAAUGGGAAAGACUCAUGUAUUUGGAAAAAAGUCCCCUUCACUGGCAGCAAAAUAGAAAAUAUCAGCUGGUAUAAAUGCAAUAAAUAUGCAAGACACAGAAUAUCCUUAAUUUACAAAGAGAUAUUUUUGAAAAACAGGAAAAAAGGCAAAGUGGAAAUGCAAAAGAAUAAACAAACUACGUUACCCCAAGAAUAUCAUUAAAUAUAAAAUGGCCAACAAACUAUGAAAAGAUCUUAACUUGAAAAAUAUGUAUUAUGACAAUAAAGGUAGAUCAUUUUCAGCUAUGAGAAUGUUGAAGUUUCUUAACAAUGAUUUGGGGUGGUCUAGAAAAAGGCACCUGAAUGUUCAUUUUUGGUGAGUGUGUGAAAUGUAUACAAUUUGACAGUAUUCUUUUAUCAACGAUUCUACCUCUAAAAUUUUAAUCGACAAAUGUGAUCAUUUUUUUUUGCAUAUUCAGGUAUGUGUAUAGUAGGAUUAUUUUUAAUACAUGAAAUCAGAAAUAACCUGGGUAUCUCACACAUCUAUCUUAAAUGAAUUGCUUCUUACAUCAAUCUUAUACAAUGUGUUACAUUAAAUAGAAGACAGCUUAGUAUAUGUCACUAGAGAACAAAGAUUACAUAAUGAUGUAGAAAGAUGUUCAUGACAUACAUGAGAACGAAGUUUGUUUUAGACAGAAGAGACAAAUGUGCCUGCCUUCUUUAUGUCUAUCUCAAGUACUAACUAGACAUGAAAAAUGUUUGGAAAAAACAGUAGAUGUGAAGCUUACCUUAUCUACUUGCUAGUUUUGUGAUCCAGGAGGAAUUACAACAUUCUUGAGCCUAUUUCUUCGUCUGAAAUCUCAGUAAAGAGUCAGUUCCCUAUUGCUGUCAAGAUUGAGAGUCAGUAUGAGGGUUUGCUUUGUGCUAAAGCUCUUCUCACACACAUCUUCACUCAUGUUGCUACUAACACAGAUGAGAAGCAGCAUCUCUCACGGAGAUGAGAUGAUGAGCACUACGUUUCUCCUGAAUAGUAUCAGCUACUUUCUACUUUACUUACAGAGUGCUACUAACAUAUUAAUUGUACACAGAAGAGUACUUCAAUGUAGGAUUUGACACUGAGCAGCCUUUCAGAGGAAAGUAUAGUACUUGGCAAUGGAUGUCCCUGAUGUACUCAUGUCAUAAAACCUUUAUCAAUAUCCUGAGGGAAAUAUAUACUAACUGUGUAAUAUCACACUUGAAAAACAAAAAACUUGACCAAAAGGGAUAAUUAAUCAUAAAAUACUCUAAAUUCGCCUUUCCAAACUAAGACCUUUUACAUAGAAAAGCUUUAAAUUACAGUCAGCCAUCAAUGAGAUGGUGCUUUCAGUGGGGUUCUAUUAUUUUGAGAUAAUGAAAAUAGGCUAACACUAAUGAUAGUGAAGUUUUCUCUUGCUCUGAGCCAAAUCCUGUGGUUAUCUGCCCUCCUCUCUCCAAGACACACUCUCUAGUAAUUUGCGUCUACGAACACCCCAGCAAGCCAUGCACUAUACUCUGUGGAUGUCGGAGUUUACUGGUCCAGUCAGCCUGACGGGAACCAUCACUUUGCUAUUUUUUUUGCACCGCCCCAUUUCUUUUUAAUCUAACAAAACAGCAGCUUGCUUUAACAAGUAAUCUUUCUUCUCAUGUGAUGAUGAGCUUAUUGUCAGAAAAAACAAUUUCCCUCACAAAAUAAUUUGAAUCACAAGCAAGCCCCCCAUUCAACUAAUGAGAAAAGUCUGUGUGUAAGUAAUGCUUCAACAGGAGCCAUUCAUUUCAGAGUUAUGGCCACACUCUGUUUUUAUGGAUAAAAAUAAACCACCUCUUAAUUGUCUCCAGUCAGUAGAUAAAC
ensembl:lncRNA